GGAACGAGUUAACUGACCCUUCGGGUGACGUUAACGGCGUCGAGCGGCGGACGGGUGAAGUAUAUGCCUGGGAAAUUGCCCUGAUGUGGGGGAUAACCAUUGGAAACGAUGGCUAAUACCGCAUAAUGCCUUCGGGCCAAAGAGGGGGACCUUCGGGCCUCUCCGCGUCAGGAUAUGCCCAGGUGGGAUUAGCUAGUUGGUGAGGUAAUGGCUCACCAAGGCGACGAUCCCUAGCUGGUCUGAGAGGAUGAUCAGCCACACUGGAACUGAGACACGGUCCAGACUCCUACGGGAGGCAGCAGUGGGGAAUAUUGCACAAUGGGCGCAAGCCUGAUGCAGCCAUGCCGCGUGUGUGAAGAAGGCCUUCGGGUUGUAAAGCACUUUCAGCAGUGAGGAAGGCGGGUACGUUAAUAGCGUGCUCGUUUGACGUUAGCUGCAGAAGAAGCACCGGCUAACUCCGUGCCAGCAGCCGCGGUAAUACGGAGGGUGCGAGCGUUAAUCGGAAUUACUGGGCGUAAAGCGCAUGCAGGUGGUUCGUUAAGUCAGAUGUGAAAGCCCGGGGCUCAACCUCGGAACUGCAUUUGAAACUGGCGGACUAGAGUACUGUAGAGGGGGGUAGAAUUUCAGGUGUAGCGGUGAAAUGCGUAGAGAUCUGAAGGAAUACCGGUGGCGAAGGCGGCCCCCUGGACAGAUACUGACACUCAGAUGCGAAAGCGUGGGGAGCAAACAGGAUUAGAUACCCUGGUAGUCCACGCCGUAAACGAUGUCUACUUGGAGGUUGUGGCCUUGAGCCGUGGCUUUCGGAGCUAACGCGUUAAGUAGACCGCCUGGGGAGUACGGUCGCAAGAUUAAAACUCAAAUGAAUUGACGGGGGCCCGCACAAGCGGUGGAGCAUGUGGUUUAAUUCGAUGCAACGCGAAGAAUCCUUACCUACUCUUUGACAUCCAGAGAAGCCAGCGGAGACGCAGGUGUGCCUUCGGGAGCUCUGAGACAGGUGCUGCAUGGCUGUCGUCAGCUCGUGUUGUGAAAUGUUGGGUUAAGUCCCGCAACGAGCGCAACCCUUAUCCUUGUUUGCCAGCGAGUAAUGUCGGGAACUCCAGGGAGACUGCCGGUGAUAAACCGGAGGAAGGUGGGGACGACGUCAAGUCAUCAUGGCCCUUACGAGUAGGGCUACACACGUGCUACAAUGGCGCAUACAGAGGGCAGCCAACUUGCGAAAGUGAGCGAAUCCCAAAAAGUGCGUCGUAGUCCGGAUUGGAGUCUGCAACUCGACUCCAUGAAGUCGGAAUCGCUAGUAAUCGUAGAUCAGAAUGCUACGGUGAAUACGUACACCCAGGG
rnacentral:rRNA from 1 species